UACGUAGGGUGCAAGCGUUGUCCGGAAUUAUUGGGCGUAAAGAGCUCGUAGGCGGUUUGUUGCGUCGGCUGUGAAAUCCCGAGGCUCAACCUCGGGUCUGCAGUCGAUACGAGCAAACUAGAGUGUUGCAGGGGAGACUGGAAUUCCUGGUGUAGCGGUGAAAUGCGCAGACUAGUCAAGGAGGAACACCGGUGGCGAAGGCGGGUCUCUGGG
rnacentral:rRNA from 1 species